GGGAGGAGGAAGAGGAGAGGGAGGGGGAGGAAGAGGAAGGAGGAGGAGGAGGGAAGGUGAAAAAGUGAGAGGAAGAAGGGUUGGUUGGGUAAAGCCAGGGAACCCUGAGCAUCCGUGGGAGAAUGAACAGAGUGGGCUCAGCUCCCAGGUUACCUCCAGUUUUGCAACAGGCUUCUCUGUUGGUCUUGGUCUAGCUGCUUUGAUAACCACAUAUUGAUGUCCUGCUGGGCCCUAGAUCAGUCUUUGGCUGGGCAGGGGGACGGGGUGGAGGGAUAGAAGAGGGUGUGAUCCAGCCUUUGAUUGGACACAGAGGACAAGCCUGAGGUAGAGAUCUUUUCCAGUCACUGUGGGGAUACAGGGUAGAGCUCUCCUGGCAAUCUUCCCUGCGUGUGGUCCAGGUCGGCUGGCCAAGUGGCCAGAGGCUCUGGGGCUUUGCGGCUUGGAGCGCCCCUGUGUUGCAAGCCUGGCAGGUGGAGUGCUUAAAUAUUUAUCACAAACAGAAAUUGAUAUUGGAGAACUAAACUCCGAAGAAAGGAAAUUGAAAGCCAAGGGAGGGUGGGACCUCUGCAUCCCAAUUUGUAGAGGCCAGCCUCUGAAUAUUUCAUUAGCUCGUCCGAGUGCUGAGGGGCCAGAUGUUGCGGAUGUGAGCAGUUCUGGUUAUUCACACACCAGCGCGACUCCCCAGCAGCGUGCAGCUCAUCUUUCUGGGGCGGCACGGAGGUCAGAUACAAAGUUGCCUUAGGGAAAGAAGAAGUGACUCAGAGUGCGGUGGAGGCGGGGAGGAGGACUUGCAUCAAGCUGCCGGGGGAAUUAUAAGGGGAGGGGUAAGUCCCAAGUGAGUGUGUACUGUUUGACACGGACACUGCCAUGUCAAGGAGCCCUAUGCCGCCUGCAAGUGGCAAAAAGAACCUUCGGGAGCUGAGUUCAAGUGUUGACAGUAUGUGAAGAAAGUGACCGCUGCUGGCUUUAUCUCUCCAGGUAUUCGUGGCCUGAAAACUGCUCCCCUGCAGAGAGCAAAGCUGCCCCCUUGUUCAGAGGGAUAUAAUGAGACCAAUUCUUGUUUGCCUGUAGGCAAGCAUCUUGGCUGCCUGUUCGACUGUGGGUAAUAAGAACACUGAGCUUCCAUGGUGUCUUGGAUUCUCCAUCAGAAGACACCUGGGCCCAGCUUUUCUGUCCGUGUGCCUGUGCGUGUGGCAUUUCUUCAAUCCCUUGUUUAGGUCAAUUUCUAGAGCCCUGCAGGACUCAGCAUCUCAGACUUGGUGAAGUAAAAACCACCACCACCACCGCUGCUGCCAUCACCAUCAGCAUCAUCACCAUCGACAUCAUUAUCAAUCACAUUACUGUCUUUAUCAUUACCUUACUCUGUCCUUGACUCAGAACCAUGUCAAUAUAAACUCUGGCCAUUUUACAGUUGAGUUAAGUGAGGGAUAAUAAAUUGGGUCCAAGAGAGCCAAGAGCUAUGAGGAGGCAGCGCUGGUCUGCUGGACACAACGGGUGUCUUCUAACAGAGGCUCACUGUAGUGAAACCUGUCAGUCACUGGCUGGCAGCAGCUCUAGAACUUGGCAUACUCAAAGAAUUAUUUGAUUAAUUAAUUGGAUUUUGAGGCAGAGUCCAGAUUGAUGUUGAAUUUGCUACAUGGCUGAGGUGACCAUGAACUUCUGUUCCUCAUGUUUCUAGCUCUCGAGAGCUAGACGGGUAUGAUGGGCAUGUACCUUCUGUUGGGGAUCAAACACGGGGCUUUCUGAAUCUUGGGCAAGCAUUCUACCAACUGAGCUACAUCCCAUUACCCCAAGAACAUCUUUAGGUCUCCUUCUACACUACAUACUGUCCAGGCAAGCACUGGCUUGGAGUACCUUGAGAUAGCCACUAAGAAGUUGUCCCACUCUGUGGUCUGCCCAGAAGAUGCAUAGCUGUCAUUGCUGUCUGCUGAGCUAGGACCAAACUUGAUGCAUCAUUUCCCACAGACAAAGUUUCAGAGACAGGCGCUUAGUAGCAGUAUAGCAAAGGCUGCCCAAGGCCUGCACCUUCUGUCUUUGUGAGAGUCUCAGACCUGUACUGAUUAGCAGAAUUGGCUCUGUACUGGCUGGUUUUGGGUGUCAACUUGACACAAGCUGGAGUUAUCACAGAGAAAGGAGCCUCCCUUGAGGAAAUGCCUCUAUAAGGCAUUUUCUCAAUUAGUGAUCAAGGGUUGGAGAGCCCCCAUUGUGGGUUGUGCCAUCCCUGGGCUGGUGGUCCUGGGUUCUAUAAGAAAGCAAGCUGAGCAAGGCAGGAGAAGCAAGCCAGUAAGUAACAUGGCCUCUGCAUCAGCUCCUGCUUCCUGACCUGCUUGAGUUCCAGUCCUGACUUCCUUAGGUGAUGAACAGCAAUGUGGAAGUGUAAGCUGAAUAAACCCUUUCCUCCCCAA